UGAUGUAUCAGGUCUGAAUGUGGAGUUGGCCUUCACUGCUGUGGCCAAGGAGCUGAAGCACAGGGAGAUGAAGGAGCCUAACGAGCCAAAGUUUCAGCUGCAGGAGUAUGUUAACAAGGAGAUGAAGGGAGUCGGCUGCUGUCGCUCCUAAACCCUCUCUCUCUCUGUCUCUCUGUCUGUUUGUGUGUUUUUCCACUUUCAUCCUCUUCUCUCACAUAAAUUGGAUGCCUGUCAGAUAUUCUGCAGCUCUGGAGACUUUCAUCUUUAAACGCUCAGCUCGCAAACAAUAGCGAACGACACGAAGCAAAGAGAAGCGGUCAUCAGAAUGCAACUGGCACGUGCUUAAUUAUUCACACCCCCAAUAAACACAGACCCACCUCUCCAAGCAGCUGUGAAUGUAUGUUCAACACUCAUGACUGGAGUGUCUCAAAGUUUGCUUUUAUUAGAUGGCAAAAUCAUUCAGUCGUCCAAUUACUUAGAUGUACUUUUCUGUGGCAGCUUCACUUGAACCCAAUUAUACACCACUUUUAUUGUUAAAAAUACCCACAAGUGUGUCAUAAACGUGGCGGUUCAGCACAGAGAUAA